rnacentral:rRNA from 1 species
UACGGGGGGGGGCAAGCGUUGUUCGGAAUUACUGGGCGUAAAGGGCUCGUAGGUGGCCAACUAAGUCAGACGUGAAAUCCCUCGGCUUAACCGGGGAACUGCGUCUGAUACUGGAUGGCUUGAGUUUGGGAGAGGGAUGCGGAAUUCCAGGUGUAGCGGUGAAAUGCGUAGAUAUCUGGAGGAACACCGGUGGCGAAGGCGGCAUCCUGGACCAAUUCUGACGCUGAGGAGCGAAAAGCCAGGGGGAGCAAAACGGGG